AUUGAACGCUGGCGGCAUGCCUUACACAUGCAAGUCGAACGGCAGCACGGGAGCAAUCCUGGUGGCGAGUGGCGAACGGGUGAGUAAUAUAUCGGAACGUGCCCAGUCGUGGGGGAUAACGUAGCGAAAGCUACGCUAAUACCGCAUACGAUCUAUGGAUGAAAGCGGGGGAUCGCAAGACCUCGCGCGAUUGGAGCGGCCGAUAUCAGAUUAGGUAGUUGGUGAGGUAAAGGCUCACCAAGCCGACGAUCUGUAGCUGGUCUGAGAGGACGACCAGCCACACUGGGACUGAGACACGGCCCAGACUCCUACGGGAGGCAGCAGUGGGAAUUUUGGACAAUGGACGCAAGUCUGAUCCAGCCAUUCCGCGUGCAGGAUGAAGGCCCUCGGGUUGUAAACUGCUUUGUACGGAACGAAAAGGUUUGUCUUAAUACGAUGAGCUCAUGACGGUACCGUAAGAAUAAGCACCGGCUAACUACGUG
rnacentral:rRNA from 1 species